UCCGGCUUAUCACCGGCAGUUUCUUUAGAGUGCUCAACUAAAUGGUAGCAACUAAUGGCAAGGGUUGCGCUCGUUGCGGGACUUAACCCAACAUCUCACGACACGAGCUGACGACAGCCAUGCAGCACCUGUGUCCAGGUUCCCUUUCGGGCACCCCUCCAUCUCUAGAGGGUUCCUGGCAUGUCAAGGGUAGGUAAGGUUUUUCGCGUUGCAUCGAAUUAAUCCACAUAAUCCACCGCUUGUGCGGGUCCCCGUCAAUUCCUUUGAGUUUUAACCUUGCGGCCGUACUCCCCAGGCGGAGAGCUUAAUGCGUGAGCUCCGGUACCCAGGAGGUUAACAUCCCGGACACCUAGUAUCCAUCGUUUACGGCGUGGACUAC
rnacentral:misc_RNA from 1 species